rnacentral:rRNA from 1 species
UAGGGAAUCUUCGGCAAUGGACGCAAGUCUGACCGAGCAACGCCGCGUGAGUGAAGACGGUUUUCGGAUCGUAAAGCUCUGUUGUAGGGGAAGAACGUGUGUAAGAGUGGAAAGCUUACACAGUGACGGUACCCUACCAGAAAGGGACGGCUAACUACGUGCCAGCAGCCGCGGUAAUACGUAGGUCCCGAGCGUUGUCCGGAUUUAUUGGGCGUAAAGGGAGCGCAGGCGGUUUAGUAAGUCUGAAGUUAAAGGCAUUGGCUCAACCAAUGUAUGCUUUGGAAACUGUUAGACUUGAGUGCAGAAGGGGAGAGUGGAAUUCCAUGUGUAGCGGUGAAAUGCGUAGAUAUAUGGAGGAACACCGGUGGCGAAAGCGGCUCUCUGGUCUGUCACUGACGCUGAGGCUCGAAAGCGUGGGUAGCGAACA